rnacentral:lncRNA from 1 species
AGAACCAGAGUACCAGAGUUUGCUGUCUUCCUCUCCUCUCCCUCAUUUUCACUCUCCCUUCCCCCUCCCCCCAACUUAGCUGCACCGCACUCCUCCUUUUCCUCUCCCCCUUGGCUGUUCCCUAGCCCCUUCAUUCCUUCAGGCUCUGAAGACCCUCUCCCCUCUUCCCCUCCUCAUCAACCCCCACUCCUCUUCCUCCCUCCCUUCCCGGCAGCGGCUGGAGGAGACGCCACAGCUGCUGCUGUUACUGCCGCUGCAGCAGGUCUCUGUCAGUAUCACCCGGCCACGCGCGAUCUGGAUGCUGAAGUCGCGCACUGGCCUGGAGAUGAGGGCGGGGGAGAGAGUGGAGUGGCCGGGAGAGGGGAGGGAGGAGUGGAAAGGAGACGAAAACAGCUUCCAAGCAUCGGGCGCGGCUCAACUGGACAUCUGGGCAGGAGAGGUCUCCGGGUCAGCGGCUGGAGAGCCGCCCCAGGGAGUCGGUGUCUAACUGGAAAUUUAGUGGGCCCAUUUACUGCAGAGCCGCAGCUGGUGAGGGCAGACGCCAGCCUAACAGCAGCUUCUCCACAACUAGAGCUCAGAAAACCCGAGAGAUCCGUGGAGAAAGAGAAGCCCAGGAGGAGGAAAGGGCUCCAAGGAGCCCUGCUCCUGAAGAUUCCCUCAGGCACUGGUGGAGACCUGUCGCUUCGUAGCAAGUCCUCCACCAUGUGAAUGCCAACAUUGCAAGGUCAUUAGAGCUGAGGGAAAACCAGUGCCCAAAGAUACGAAAAGAAUGUGGAUCUUCUGGAGAAGGGCUGUUGCUGAACAGGUAUUUGUCUCAGCAACUCCUGUAUAUGCUUUAUCUCUCAUACUCAGGCUAUCAGAUGAGAAAAAACAAACAAGAAAAUGUAAUGAUGUGUCUGCUUGCUUUAUAAAGGUGGUUGGGUGAAGCUUAGCUCUCAGCCAAGGCAUCUUUCUGCCUAGCAGUCUGCAUCAGAUUCAUCUCAAUGGGCUGCAGCACAAGCUAUUCUGAAAUAGUCUGUCUGGAUUGGGCCACUGGCUCCUAGAUUUUCAAUAUUAUCCCCAGGAGAUUUCUGAUAUGCAGUUCAGAGCUUGCAUGAUUGAAAUCACCUGUACUGAGAUUUUCUUUAUCUAUAGCUCUCAGGACCAGCGUGUUAACCAGAGGUCACCAUCCUCUCAUCUUCUCUGUCCUCUUAGAAGCUCCAGGACUUGUGAACUACAGAUUUGACACGGUCAUAUCUAGUCAACCUUCCAGGGUCUGGUACAUUGUUGAAGGUUUUGUGUCUAUCUGAAUCUAACACUGAGCCAGACUUGGUGCUAGAGGUUUAUGAGUGACCUUAUAUGACACUGUUUAGAACUCUUCUGUCUAUUCACUGAUUUAGGGUAUCAUUUGUGGAUCUAUGAGCUGAGUUCCACUGCUGAGGAGAAGCUGGCAACAAUGAAGGGUCAAGGAAAUCUACAGAUUAAGGCUAACCACAGAUUAAGAGGAUACUCAAGGAGGUCAGCUAGUUCUGAGAGGUCCUCAAGAGUCCCAGGGAUGUCCUAGUUCUGGAAUGUUUUAAACAGAAGUUGAGAGAUCAGGUCUUGAAUCUCAGGGGACCAUUUUGUAUCAAAGACCUCAGGAUGAAGGGCAAGUUAUAGUCUGUUUGCAUCAUACAGCCUCCUUUGUAUUCCUCUGAGAAGCAGCACAACCUACUUUUCUUCACUUGUUGAAUCCUAAUGUGGCCACUAGCCAGGAAUUUUUGGUCAAGGAUUUAACAGACUGGAUCCACUAGAAAUAGAAUUCCAGGACAGUCCUGGCUCCUUUACAACUUGCUCUUUUUGAUGAGAUAACAAAGGAUAAUUUAGAAUUAUAGAGGCUUAUUUUGCAAAGCAGUGGAAGUUUUGAAAACAUCUGGAGAAAUUGGGAACACUGAGUUCUUUAGAAUGUGGGGGUCAAUCACUUUCCCAGGGCUACUGGUAGGGAAUCAAAGAUCUUUACUGUUUUGAAGCUUCAAGCAGCAACAUUUUAGGCAGAACCAGCUUUACUUUUUAUUCCUAGAAACCUCCCUUUCUAUUGCCUUUAUCACUGUCAUACUCACAUUUCUCAGUGAGGCAGGAGACCCUCAAAAAGAUCUUAUUCCCAGAUUCGUGUCCUUUUCUAGUGUUUCAACUGCCACUAAGCCUUCCUUUUGCUCAUUGAUCUUAGCAUAUUUACAAUCAAAUGUGACAGUGUGAUUUGCUUUGGUUAUCCGGCACUGUUUGUGGCCUUCUAAUCCUAUUGUGGCUGUUGACUCUCAUUCUGAAGCUUAAUGUCCUAAACUGUUCCUUCCCUCAAGAAGAGAGUUAUUAAUUGUCCCAUAUUAUUGGGAGAUUUAACACAUAAUCUGUAGAACCAGACCCACCAGUGUUUGAGAUGAUUUUAAUUCCAGUCUCUGUUCCUCUUGAAACUAAUCAUUUUGAGAGAUUAACAAGGUAAGACUUGGUUCUUAUUUGUUUACAAGUCUGUAUCCAUUGUCCAUAAAUUUAGUGACUAUACUUUAUUAUUUCUAGUGUGUUGCUGCCUGGUAACAUACUUGGCACUUAAUAAGUACAUGUUCCACAAAUGAUUGCUCAACAAAUGAAUGUCAAACGUAACAACUGUCGAUAAGCUUAUUGCCAAAUAUAACCCGCAAGAAUAAUCUCUUAAAGAAAAAUUAUAGCUUUUUAAUAUAUCUGAAAUAAAAAUGUUAAAAUAUAUAAUUAUAAAAAUUAGUGAAUAUGAUUUUAUUAUGGAGAGACUUACUUCUUCACAACUUCUUUCUAGAAGAUAGCAUAUUCUAAUAAUAUGUUUCAAGGGGCCUGAGACAGGUUAGGGCAAGAGCUAUAAGAAUGGAUAGAGUUACUUAUACAGUCUAGAAAUCAAAAGCCAGCCAAAAUCCUAGAACUGGGAUCCAGAAUAGAUGAAUCCUAGGUCAGGCAGAGAGAUUGAGGAGCCUUAGGCAAAACUGGCUGAACUGUGGGCAGAACACAAGUGUAAGGAAUCUAAAGAUAAGAGCCAUACAUCGAAGUUAUUAAGUUGUAAAAGAGUUGAACAAUCUCUGUGGCAAGAAAAGGAGUUGGAGUAAAGAAAGCGAUAGCCACACUAGAGUAAAGAAAUGCAAAUACAAAAAGUAUCUGCCUGGGCACGGUGGCUCAUGCCGGUAAUCCUAGCACUUUAGGAGGCCGAGAUGGGUGGAUCUCCUGAGGUCAGGAGUUCGAGAUCAGCCUGGCCAAUAUGGUGAAACCCCGUCUCUACUAAAAAUGCAAAAAUUAGCCAGGCAUGGUGGUGGAUGCCUGUAAUCCCAGCUACUUUGGAGAUUGAGGCAGGAGAAUUGAUUGAGCCCAGGGGGCGGAGGUUGCAGUGAGCGGAGGUCGCACUAUUACACUCCAGCCUGGGCAAAAAGAGCGAGAGACUGUCUCAAAAAAAAAAAAAAAAAAAAAGAAUCCAAGACUAUAAAUGAGUUAUGCAACAAAUAGGGUCAAGCCUGAGCCAGUAUUGAAGACUACAGCUUGAAUACUCACAGCAGUACAUGACUGUUUUUUAUUGGAUGUUACAUCUGUCCAUCUGACUGCCUCUCAAUCUUCCCACAGAUAAACAGUUCUGCUCUUGGGACUUUAAGUCAUUAAGUAAUAAUUAUGACAUGUUUCAGAUUACACUUAGAAUGAAAAGAGAUAUCAUCAAUUUCUUCUAAACCUGAGUGGAGUCUGAGAAUCUAGAGAGAAGCAUGCUAUGCCUUAUUUAUCCAGCAGUCAUCAUCCAUCAAUCUCUACCCUUCAAGUUACAGCUCAGGACAAGAAAAUACUGGGGCAUCAGGUUGGCGGGGGUGAGGCAUGCAGAAGGAAGAGAGUUUCUUAACAGGAAAACGUUUGACAGCGUGGUUGAUUUUUUGUUGUUGUUUUUGGGCAUCAUGGAUGUCACUUGCAGUCUACUAUUAUGGUCUUUAUGGGUUGCAAGUUACAGAUAUUUGUUAGAAGAUGAAGCAAAUAUGAACAAGCAGCUCAAAAUUAGCAAGAUUCAAAUCUUAAAAUGAUGAGAAAGGACAUACAAAUAUAUAAAGCAAGAAAGAAUGUAAAAAGCAGAGCCCUUUGAGUUUAAAAAUAAUUUAAGAAUGUUAAAAUGUGACAGAUUAUCAUUAUAAUUUAUUACUAUUAUUAUUAUCAUUUUGCAUUAUCAGUAAAAGAAAAUUAAGUUCUACAUAUCCUCUAUAUAAGUUCUGGGAAGUAAGAUAAUAUUUCCAUUAAAAAGAUGGAUAAAAAUAAAAAUACAGUGCUUUAAAGGAUUAGAACUAGUAAUAGCUAAUGUUUCUUGAGUGCAUAGUACCUGGCAGGCAUUGUGCUAAGUGCUUUAUAUGUCUUAACUCAUUCAAUAUUCAUAUUAAUCUAUGAGGUAGGUACCCUUAUUAUUUCCAUUUUAUAGGGGGGGAAGCUGAAGCAUGGAAAGGUUAAACACCUUGCCUAAGGUUACAGUUAGAAAAUGAUAAAGCCCAGAUUUGAAUGCAGACAAUUUUGCUCCAUAACUAAAUCUUUUCCCCAAAUAUUUAUGAUAAAAUAUCUCAAACACCUAGAAUAGUUGGCAGAAUGGCAAAGAAUAACUAUAUUCUCAAUAACUAGUGUCUUCAAUUAUUAUUUUGUAUUUACUUGAUCAUAUAUCUUUCCCUGUGUUCAUCCCUCAAACCAUGCAUCAAUUCUUAUUUUUUGAUACUUUUCAAAAUACAUUGCAAACCACAGUAAAUCUUAAUACGUAAACACUGUGUGAUUCAUAUAAGUAACUAGAAUUCAGUAUUUGUUUAUUGUUUUUUUGAAGGUAAAGUAAAAGCACAAAUCUGAAGGGUACUAUUUUAUCGUUUUGACGAAUGUGUGCACCGGUGUGCUGCAAGUCGCUAACAGGAUAUUGAACAUUACCAUCACCACAGAGAUCAUCACACCUUCACAGUCAAUUCCUACCCUACUCCCAAGAUUAGCUUGCUCUCUUCUAGCACUUCAUAUAAAUUGGAUCAUAUAGUUUGUAGUCUUUGAUGUAAGACUUCUUUCACUCAGCACAAUGUUUUUGUCACUCAGUCACUGUCAUGUGUAUUAGUAGUUCAUUGAUUAUUUUGCUAAUUUUAUUCUAUUGGAUAAAUAGACUUCCAUUUUUAUUUUUAUAAAUCUAUUCUCAUCUUGAUGGACUAUUUCCAGUUUUGGGUACUUAUGCUUUAAAAAAAUAUAUUCCCAUAUAUUUAUUAUUUUUCAUUCUCUUCA